AAGUCCGCAACGAGCGCAACCCUUGUCAUUAGUUGCCACCCAUUCAGUUGGGCACUCUAAUGAGACUGCCGGUGGACAAACCGGAGGAAGGUGGGGAUGACGUCAAGUCCUCAUGGCCCUUAUGGGUAGGGCUUCACACGUCAUACAAUGGUCGGUACAGAGGGUCGCCAACCCGCGAGGGGGAGCCAAUCCCACAAAGCCGAUCGUAGUCCGGAUUGGAGUCUGCAACUCGACUCCAUGAAGUCGGAAUCGCUAGUAAUCGUGGAUCAGCAUGUCACGGUGAAUACGUUCCCGGGUCUU
rnacentral:rRNA from 1 species